rnacentral:misc_RNA from 1 species
GAAAUGCGAUAAGUAGUGUGAAUUGCAGAAUUCAGUGAAUCAUCGAAUCUUUGAACGCACAUUGCGCCCUUUGGUAUUCCUUAGGGCAUGCCUGUUCGAGCGUCAUUUGUAACCUCAAGCUCAGCUUGGUGUUGGGUGUCUGUCCCCGCCCCGCGCGGGGACUCGCCUCAAAAACAUUGGCGGCCGGUACGUUGGCUUCGAGCGCAGCAGAAACGCGAACUCGAGGCCCGACGGAUCGGCGACCAGAAGUCACUUCUUCCACAGCUUGACCUCGGAUCAGGAAGGGAUACCCGCUGAACUUAAGC